UAUCGAUGAGUUGAUUGAGUGUUGGCGGCCAGGUGUCUCGCGCUCACUUUGCACACGUCACGCAUACAGGGACAGCGGUUGCGUCCAGGUUUUUAAAUGACGGAGCGAAGAAUGGAUGAACUUCACAGCAACACAACCUGUUUUGCCUCAGAGAUAAUUUGUUCACCGAACCGGAACACAGCGGCAAGGACACGGCUUCGUCUUCCACGUGAGGACAAGUUGGAGGUAGCCCAGGAGGGAGCAGUGGCUCCGGUGCCAGUGCUUCCGCAUGUGCAGGAAAAAAUAUUCUCCGCCCACAAUGGAGUGAAGAUGUACUGUCCCUAAACGUCAUCAUGGAAACUACAGGAAGUUGGUCUCUGCCUACGUACCUAUUCAGAGACCACAGACGCCAGCACUGGUCGACAGAGGCGUGGAAAUCCCAUCUUGCUGCCUGACGACGGUGUGCCGAGGGGCAGAGGAAAGAUUCAGCUGCUCCCUCGUUUGUUCCUCCUUGUUGCUCUACCAGAGGAUGCAUUUAUGAAUAAAUAAAAGGAGGAGGGAGAGGGAGGAGAGAGGGGGCCUGAGAUCAGCCAUCAUCAUCAUCAUGCUUGUUCUCCUGCUCUUCUUCCUCUUAUUCUGUUUUUGUCCUCCUUUCUCGUCUCGCUGUUCUUCUCCAUUCAUUUUUUCUUCUGCGUCUUCCUCUUCCUCCCUUUGCCACAUAUUUUUGUUUUGACUACCUCUUUUUUUUAAAUGUUUAGAUAGGAGUUCAGUCAACGUAUCGCUAGCAGUUCAGAUAGUAGAAACA